UAUCAGGCGGUCCCUUCCACUAGUGAUUUAUCUUUUCCACUUAAGACCUGAGUCAACCUUGGAAGUUUAAGCAUGCAGAUUAACUCUCAGUUAAGGAGUUCCUUUAAUGCACUUAUUGGAAAUCCACUGCUUCCGUUCUCUCUUCUCAAAUCAAUCAUUCUUCACCACCUAACCUUACUUUGGACUGUUCGUUGGUGGAUUUCAACAACAAUUUUAUGCUAAGAUUUUGUGGGCUUCCUUGGACCAUCUAAACAAGAAUGGGGAGCCAAUCUAUUAAGUUGAAGGCAGUGAUAGACAAGGAGAAAAACAGAGUAAUACUUUCUGAAUUGGAUUCAGAUUUUAUCGAUGUACUUCUCAGUUUUUUGACAAUGCCCAUGGGAACAAUCAUUAAGCUCACACAUAGUCAACUUCCAACCCUUGGUUGCAUGAACAACUUGUAUGCAAGUGUUAAAAAUCUCGAUAUCGGGCGUUUCAGGACUAGUUCAUGCAAGGAAAUGCUUCAACAUCCUCGGAAUGGGGCUGCAAAUCACUGCAGGUACCUGAAAUUGAACAUUGACACCGGGACCACGCCUGUAAGCUACUUUUAUUGCGGGGACCUAGGAUGUUUGACAUCUAAGCACAAGUUUAGUCAUAAAAAAUAUAGCCGUUGUGAUUGUGGAAAGCAAAUGAGUCAAAGAAUACAUUUGCUGUUCCUCUAGAUGGAGGGGUGUUUGUUCGAGGACUCACCCGACCUAUAAUAAGUGAUGAAUUAGAGUUGAUGCCUGCAUCAACUGCAGCUAGCUUCUCUCUGCUAGCCAAGCUUGGAAUCAUGGAUCUAGACACUAUACAAGAAAGGACAUUUGAUGUUGGAUUACAAGAGGUUUUGAAUCUGCUGAAGGGCUCCCUGGAAUCAAAGACACCUUUGACAGAAAUUCUUUUGAAGCAAAAACAAGUGCCUGAAUCAAGGAAGGAAAAUUUAGGUGGAGGGUGCUUCCGUGAACAGAAGAUAGGAGAACAUGUAACUGACGGAAAUACGAAAAUUUGUGUGAGGCUCUUGCUUAGCAAAUCCCAGAAGAUUGUAUGUUUUGCGGAAGCGGGGGAAGAUUUUGUUGAUUUGCUCUUUCAGCUUCCUUGCUUUUCCACUCGGGUUGCGUGCUUAUCAUUCCAAAGGAUGCAUAACUCAUCUAUAUGAUAGCGUAGAGGAACUUGAUACUGAGAAAUACUUCAAGUCAAAUGACCACAAAGAGUCUCUACUUAGUCCCAAGGUGGCAUCUGGUUUUGCCUACAAGAACCAGCUACUUGGUUUGGAGGAAGAGCAGUACUAUUGGUCGAGAGAUGAUCCUUCUUAUAUUUAUAGUCAUAAACCAACUGGCAAGACAUUUACUACUUUAACCAUGAUUGAUCCUAAAGCACCAGCUUACAAGGAAGCUACAAGCAAUGGAGGAUUUGUGUUGAAACCUGCAAUGUUCACAGUAACCGGCGAUCUGAGAGUAACACCCAUAUCCCCUGUCUCAGGUUUGUCUAUUUUGAACAGAUUGAAGGUACCUUUCAGUGAUAUUGAGGAGCACAUUUGCAUAUGGGCAAUGAAGAGUAGAAUGGAGUGCUAGCAUAGGAAGUUUACAAAAGAAUAUGAGCUCUGCAAUUUCUGGCUGUGCGUCUUUUGAUGGCUUCUUUUAUCUCUGAAUCUGCUCUAACUGAUGCCUUUAUCCCCAAAAGGCUAAAACAAGAACAGUGAGGGCUUGGGCCAUAUUUCUUCUCCUUGUGGACUCUGAAGCAAAGAUGUGCUGAUUUAUGAUCCUCGGUAUUUUGAAUGUUGCAUCAUGAAAGAAAAUGUUUUCUUUCUGGUAUCUCUCUCUCUCUCUCACGCCCCCACAGCCACAGCUUGGGCCUGAAAACCUGGGCGUUUGUUCCUGCACUAGUCAUAUGCUCAGUUGAUACGUCUUGCAUGUCAUCGCAGAGAUAAGAGGUUUGUUUCUUUCACUAACUAUAAAAUUAUUGGACAGGAUAUGAAUUAUAUAUAUAUAUACAUGUAGGGGUCAAAAAAUUACAUAAGCAACGACAAGUAAAUGGGCAUCGUGACAAUUAUAUAUGCAUUCAUUAAAGGUGGAAACUAAAAGGCCAAUCUCAAGGGUCGAUAUAACGUUGCCUUGACGGUUUGUAACGGUGAGAUUAGGCCAUUAUUUUCUCUGCAUUGCUUGCCAUCAUUAGUAACUUCUCAAGUGUUUUAACUUUAAUAUCCAGCUAAUUGACUGUGUUUUUAUGUGAUGAAUGACUUGUCCCGCAUCUUGUGUCGUAAGACUGGUACUCAAUUAUUGAGUAAUUAUAAGUAAGAUUUAUCUAUCUAAAGAGAAAUUCUUACUUAAAUCGGAUUCACAUGAAUUCAAAAUAUAAAUAUAUAAAAUUUUAUGUGGAUAUCCGGUUUAGGUAAAUAUUUUUCAUUUAUCAAAAGUGUUGAUUUUAGUCUUGUUCUAUGUGUAUGAUAUAGCUUGUUCCAUUUCUUAAUUAGGUAUGAAGUUUUCACAAAAAAAUAAAGGUUUGAAGUUUCUGCCGUUUUGCAUAUAUUUUUUUUUCCUUUGCCGUUUUGCAUACUAGUCCACAAAAAAAGGAUUCCCUUGAUAUUUCCACUAUCUAGUACAUUUUUGGAGUUUAGCUGAGUUUUUCUUCAAGGGCCAAUUAUGUGAUUAAAUCUUAUGGAACGUACUUCUGAAAUGUACAUGAAUAUCAGGCCAUUUGGUAUUUUCCUCUAGUGCCAUCAUUAAGAAAGCGCAAGUAUGAGUGUAAAAUAUUUUUCAAAAUAUCAAUUGCUUAAUGAAUAAUAAAAUUUGUGAAUUUCAAAUUAAAUCGCAUGAUGUUAUAUUUCCUGUGUUCGAAUUUAGAUACAAUCUCCUCAUUUCAUUCGAAAAAACACCCAAUUUGUAAACUAAAAACAAAUAAUAAAUAAAAGAAGUGCAAAGCAGGCACAUGUACUCCUUUAAUCAAUGAAAAGAGGCCAAGUGGAUCUAUGAACUGAAGACUAAAGAGGCACACAAUCACAACUUCAAUGUGAAUCGUACCGUGCUAUGAUUGAAAAGUUGGUUUUGGUAUGUAAAGUAUAAAAUUUGUUGAAACUAAUUGUUUAUUUUUAUUUAUUUAUUUUAAAAAAUCGAAUUUGAAAUUUUCAUGUUCAACUACACGUGGUUGUUAA